rnacentral:piRNA from 1 species
CUGAACGUGCUCUGGACGAUGGCAGA